rnacentral:rRNA from 1 species
GAUGAACGCUGGCGGCGUGCCUAAUACAUGCAAGUCGAGCGAACGGACGAGAAGCUUGCUUUUCUGAUGUUAGCGGCGGACGGGUGAGUAACACGUGGAUAACCUACCUAUAAGACUGGGAUAACUUCGGGAAACCGGAGCUAAUACCGGAUAAUAUUUUGAACCGCAUGGUUCAAAAGUGAAAGACGGUCUUGCUGUCACUUAUAGAUGGAUCCGCGCUGCAUUAGCUAGUUGGUAAGGUAACGGCUUACCAAGGCAACGAUGCAUAGCCGACCUGAGAGGGUGAUCGGCCACACUGGAACUGAGACACGGUCCAGACUCCUACGGGAGGCAGCAGUAGGGAAUCUUCCGCAAUGGGCGAAAGCCUGACGGAGCAACGACGCGUGAGUGAUGAAGGUCUUCGGAUCGUAAAACUCUGUUAUUAGGGAAGAACAUAUGUGUAAGUAACUGUGCACAUCUUGACGGUACCUAAUCAGAAAGCCACGGCUAACUACGUG